rnacentral:rRNA from 2 species
AAAACUUUCAACAACGGAUCUCUUGGUUCCGGCAUCGAUGAAGAACGCAGCGAAAUGCGAUAAGUAAUGUGAAUUGCAGAAUUCCGUGAAUCAUCGAAUCUUUGAACGCACAUUGCGCCCCCUGGUAUUCCGGGGGGCAUGCCUGUUCGAGCGUCAUUUCAACCCCUCA